GGGUUGUGAGGUUAAGCGACUAAGCGUACACGGUGGAUGCCCUGGCAGUCAGAGGCGAUGAAGGACGUGCUAAUCUGCGAUAAGCGUCGGUAAGGUGAUAUGAACCGUUAUAACCGGCGAUUUCCGAAUGGGGAAACCCAGUGUGUUUCGACACACUAUCAUUAACUGAAUCCAUAGGUUAAUGAGGCGAACCGGGGGAACUGAAACAUCUAAGUACCCCGAGGAAAAGAAAUCAACCGAGAUUCCCCCAGUAGCGGCGAGCGAACGGGGAGCAGCCCAGAGCCUGAAUCAGUAUGUGUGUUAGUGGAAGCGUCUGGAAAGGCGCGCGAUACAGGGUGACAGCCCCGUACACAAAAAUGCACAUGCUGUGAGCUCGAUGAGUAGGGCGGGACACGUGGUAUCCUGUCUGAAUAUGGGGGGACCAUCCUCCAAGGCUAAAUACUCCUGACUGACCGAUAGUGAACCAGUACCGUGAGGGAAAGGCGAAAAGAACCCCGGCGAGGGGAGUGAAAAAGAACCUGAAACCGUGUACGUACAAGCAGUGGGAGCACGCUUAGGCGUGUGACUGCGUACCUUUUGUAUAAUGGGUCAGCGACUUAUAUUCUGUAGCAAGGUUAACCGAAUAGGGGAGCCGAAGGGAAACCGAGUCUUAACUGGGCGUUAAGUUGCAGGGUAUAGACCCGAAACCCGGUGAUCUAGCCAUGGGCAGGUUGAAGGUUGGGUAACACUAACUGGAGGACCGAACCGACUAAUGUUGAAAAAUUAGCGGAUGACUUGUGGCUGGGGGUGAAAGGCCAAUCAAACCGGGAGAUAGCUGGUUCUCCCCGAAAGCUAUUUAGGUAGCGCCUCGUGAAUUCAUCUCCGGGGGUAGAGCACUGUUUCGGCAAGGGGGUCAUCCCGACUUACCAACCCGAUGCAAACUGCGAAUACCGGAGAAUGUUAUCACGGGAGACACACGGCGGGUGCUAACGUCCGUCGUGAAGAGGGAAACAACCCAGACCGCCAGCUAAGGUCCCAAAGUCAUGGUUAAGUGGGAAACGAUGUGGGAAGGCCCAGACAGCCAGGAUGUUGGCUUAGAAGCAGCCAUCAUUUAAAGAAAGCGUAAUAGCUCACUGGUCGAGUCGGCCUGCGCGGAAGAUGUAACGGGGCUAAACCAUGCACCGAAGCUGCGGCAGCGACGCUGAUGCGUUGUUGGGUAGGGGAGCGUUCUGUAAGCCUGUGAAGGUGUGCUGUGAGGCAUGCUGGAGGUAUCAGAAGUGCGAAUGCUGACAUAAGUAACGAUAAAGCGGGUGAAAAGCCCGCUCGCCGGAAGACCAAGGGUUCCUGUCCAACGUUAAUCGGGGCAGGGUGAGUCGACCCCUAAGGCGAGGCCGAAAGGCGUAGUCGAUGGGAAACAGGUUAAUAUUCCUGUACUUGGUGUUACUGCGAAGGGGGGACGGAGAAGGCUAUGUUGGCCGGGCGACGGUUGUCCCGGUUUAAGCGUGUAGGCUGGUUUUCCAGGCAAAUCCGGAAAACUAAGGCUGAGGCGUGAUGACGAGGCACUACGGUGCUGAAGCAACAAAUGCCCUGCUUCCAGGAAAAGCCUCUAAGCAUCAGGUAACAUCAAAUCGUACCCCAAACCGACACAGGUGGUCAGGUAGAGAAUACCAAGGCGCUUGAGAGAACUCGGGUGAAGGAACUAGGCAAAAUGGUGCCGUAACUUCGGGAGAAGGCACGCUGAUAUGUAGGUGAAGUCCCUCGCGGAUGGAGCUGAAAUCAGUCGAAGAUACCAGCUGGCUGCAACUGUUUAUUAAAAACACAGCACUGUGCAAACACGAAAGUGGACGUAUACGGUGUGACGCCUGCCCGGUGCCGGAAGGUUAAUUGAUGGGGUUAGCGCAAGCGAAGCUCUUGAUCGAAGCCCCGGUAAACGGCGGCCGUAACUAUAACGGUCCUAAGGUAGCGAAAUUCCUUGUCGGGUAAGUUCCGACCUGCACGAAUGGCGUAAUGAUGGCCAGGCUGUCUCCACCCGAGACUCAGUGAAAUUGAACUCGCUGUGAAGAUGCAGUGUACCCGCGGCAAGACGGAAAGACCCCGUGAACCUUUACUAUAGCUUGACACUGAACAUUGAGCCUUGAUGUGUAGGAUAGGUGGGAGGCUUUGAAGUGUGGACGCCAGUCUGCAUGGAGCCGACCUUGAAAUACCACCCUUUAAUGUUUGAUGUUCUAACGUUGACCCGUAAUCCGGGUUGCGGACAGUGUCUGGUGGGUAGUUUGACUGGGGCGGUCUCCUCCUAAAGAGUAACGGAGGAGCACGAAGGUUGGCUAAUCCUGGUCGGACAUCAGGAGGUUAGUGCAAUGGCAUAAGCCAGCUUGACUGCGAGCGUGACGGCGCGAGCAGGUGCGAAAGCAGGUCAUAGUGAUCCGGUGGUUCUGAAUGGAAGGGCCAUCGCUCAACGGAUAAAAGGUACUCCGGGGAUAACAGGCUGAUACCGCCCAAGAGUUCAUAUCGACGGCGGUGUUUGGCACCUCGAUGUCGGCUCAUCACAUCCUGGGGCUGAAGUAGGUCCCAAGGGUAUGGCUGUUCGCCAUUUAAAGUGGUACGCGAGCUGGGUUUAGAACGUCGUGAGACAGUUCGGUCCCUAUCUGCCGUGGGCGCUGGAGAACUGAGGGGGGCUGCUCCUAGUACGAGAGGACCGGAGUGGACGCAUCACUGGUGUUCGGGUUGUCAUGCCAAUGGCACUGCCCGGUAGCUAAAUGCGGAAGAGAUAAGUGCUGAAAGCAUCUAAGCACGAAACUUGCCCCGAGAUGAGUUCUCCCUGACUCCUUGAGAGUCCUGAAGGAACGUUGAAGACGACGACGUUGAUAGGCCGGGUGUGUAAGCGCAGCGAUGCGUUGAGCUAACCGGUACUAAUGAACCGUGAGGCUUAACCUUACAACGCCGAAGCUGUU
rnacentral:rRNA from 1 species